AAUACUUGAAUAGAUAUCCAUACAGCUAUAACCAUUAACUCAUAAUACACACUUAUUCGAUCAGCUUUCCUUUUCCUUUGUUCGUGCCUGAGCCUUCACGUUGCUCAUUCAUAACUGAAAACAUUUGAUUUAAGCAAGGAUGAGCAUUUGAGUGCCCAGCAAGUAAUAGUUAUUAUAUAUAUAAACUGAAAGAAUAUAAGUAUUCCCUUUACAUAACACUUCUACAACGAAUCAAAAGUUGUGAAGUAAUCUGUACUGAUAAAAGAUUCACAUAACAACUCUCUUUCAAUUUCUUGAAAU
rnacentral:lncRNA from 1 species